GCCCCCAUAGCUCAGUAGGUAGAGCGACGGACUGUUAAUCCGUAGGUCGCAGGUUCGAGUCCUGCUGGGGGCG
rnacentral:tRNA from 1 species